rnacentral:lncRNA from 1 species
CAACCACCACCGGUUCCUCCGGGUAGUUUUCUUUAUUCAGCUUGGUGACGACCCACGACUCCAUCGGCACCUUGUUCGCCCCCCGCUUGGACUUCGACUGAGUAGUCGACUCCGUAGCCUGAGACGUCGCACCCUGGGCUUCUUCCUCGUUAGUUGUUCCUUCAAGGAGCAGCUGCUCCUCGGCUUCUUUAAGGAUCAGCUGCUCCUCGGCUCCUUCUUCGCUCAUGGCAAUUUCCGAGCCCGAGGAAGAUGCCCCCGCUUCUACUUCGACUUGUCCCUCCACAACCAGUGGCUGCUCAGGCACCUCUUCAACGCGAGCCUGAGGUUCCUAUCCAACACUUAUAAAAGUAAUAUAAAAAAAGAGAAAAAUUCGGCAUGACCUAUGCUGUAAAACAAGAAAAUUUCGGCAUGACCAUUGCUAUAAAACAACAAAUGAGUCUACCCGAAUGUUAUACCUGCAUAAAAAAAACUCCCACCCACAUAUACCCCCUCGGCACGAUGGCCGAACCCUUCUCAACGACCCGGCACGAUAGCCGGGCCCACAUUCCUCAUAUCAACCGACACGACAGUCAGCAUCACAUGCAUGUAUCAAUCUUUGCACCAAGAGCAGCAAUAACAACAAUAUUUAAACAAGAGGCGCCAAAUAAAGAUUUAAACCCUAAAUGGCAAUAUGAAACCAUAAACGGCAAUAUUAAAUCCUAAACAGCAGUAUUAAACCCUAAACAACAAUAUUAAACCCUAAACAACAAUAUUAAACCCUAAAAAGCAUUAUUAAAUCCUAAACCACA